rnacentral:rRNA from 1 species
AUACGUAGGUGGCAAGCGUUGUCCGGAAUUAUUGGGCGUAAAGCGCGCGCAGGCGGUCCUUUAAGUCUGAUGUGAAAGCCCACGGCUCAACCGUGGAGGGUCAUUGGAAACUGGGGGACUUGAGUGCAGAAGAGGAAAGUGGAAUUCCAAGUGUAGCGGUGAAAUGCGUAGAGAUUUGGAGGAACACCAGUGGCGAAGGCGACUUUCUGGUCUGUAACUGACGCUGAGGCGCGAAAGCGUGGGGAGCAAACAGGAUUAGAUACCCUGGUAGUCCACGCCGUAAACGAUGAGUGCUAAGUGUUAGGGGGUUUCCGCCCCUUAGUGCUGCAGCUAACGCAUUAAGCACUCCGCCUGG